AACUGAUUAAUACCCUCAGCAUUAGCUGCUUCUUUUAUUUUCAGUGCCAAUGUCAGGUUGUUGAGUUUGCUAACGGUACUGUACUUUACUUUAACCAUAUAAAUUACAGUUACUGUGGUUUAGUCUAUUCUCAGAUGUUGAGUCCUGCACAAAUGACAUAAAUGCCGCUAGAGGUCACAAUUCCCAAAGCAGUUUUAUUCAGACUAAUGUGGGCCAUUUACUCAUUAGUAGCUCCUGACCUACACACUGAUCUACAAAGAGUCCUGUAGUUAUAAAGGCAGCCAGGAAUUAAACCACAGAUCUGUUUCUCAGGUCAACUUCAGCUGAUUGGUCCAUCUCAACCAAUAGUGGCGACAGUUGGUGAUGACAUCAUUUUCCCAUGCCACCUGGAACCUGCAAUGAAUGCUUCUGACAUGAGCUUGGAGUGAGCUGAGGCCUGGGUUUGUGUCUGUGAGGGCAAACAGUCAAGAAUACGUAGUUACCAAACAGCCGUCCUACAGAGGAAGAACAUCAGUGUCCAUCGACAAACUGGAGCUCGGAGACGUUUCACUGAAACUCUCCAACGUAAAAGUCUCUGAUGAGCAAACAUGCAGACGUUCCAACAGUACCAAGCUUGUUGUUGAAAUGUACUGUAAGAUGUCCACUUCUGGCAGAGCUGUGCCCAUACAUCAGCAAAUACAGCAGACUGACAAACAUGGACGAAAUGUUUGGAAGCUGCUGAUCCCAGUCACCAUGAGGAAACAGUCAGCGGUGGAAGAAGUAUUCAGAUCUUUUACUUAAAGGUCCUGAUGACCUCUGGCUGUCAGCAGCAGAGUGACUGUGGAGACGAGACACGGCAACAGCUUCACCUGUAGAGUCCAACAGCAGAACAUCAACCAGGCCAGAGAAAUACACAUCCAUGUUCCAGUCCUGUCGAGGUACGUGAAAUGUGUCUUGGCUCCAGGAUUAAUCGUGUCUUGCUGUGUGCUGUAUGCACAGUACGAAAAUGGAGGCUAAGCUACAAGCAUGUGACUGAAGAUCUAAGGGGCCCACUGAGUGUCAUGUAAGCAAAGUGCUAUGGUCCUAAGAUUUAUAGACAUGCAACUCUGUAGCUAACAGGAAGGCAGUGUGAAAAACUGAGUAAGGUGUGUUACCCCUA